UUUUUUUUGUGAACUUUGGUGGAGUUGUGAGAAGAAGAAAAUGGGUUUGGAGAGGUUGAAGAAGGUGAAAAUGGUGAAAAUGAGGAUUCUGCCCGUUAAAGUUGCAGACUUCAUGGCGCCUGCCAUGAAGCUUAUGGCGCCCGCCAUGUCUUCGGGUUUGGUUGGGCCGGAUUUGGUCAGUGCUACUUGGGCCUCAACUCUUUUGUCAUCAUUUCUGUAGGAAUGGGGGUGCACAUAGGUUUCUAUGAAUGCUGUUUUUUGAUUUAAGCUUGAUAAAACAAAAUAAAAUAAAACAAAAUAAAAUAGUAAAGUAAAA
rnacentral:lncRNA from 1 species